GACAGAGGCCUCAAGCGUUAGGCGGAAUCACUGGGCUUAAAGCGUGUGUAGGCGGGUCGUUAAGUACCUUGUGAAAUCCCACGGCUCACCCGUGGAACUGCUGGGUAUACUGGCGAUCUUGGGCCAACUAGGGCAACUGGAACAAGCGGUGGAGCGGUGAAAUGCGUAGAUAAUCGCUUGGAACGCCAAAGGUGAAACAGGUUGCUGGGGUUGUGCCG
rnacentral:rRNA from 1 species